GCCUGGGUGGCUCAGUCGGUUGAGCGUCCGACUUUGGCUCAGGUCAUGAUCUCACAGUCUGUGGGUUCGAGCCCCAUGUCGGGCU
rnacentral:tRNA from 1 species